GUCCCGGAGUCGAACCGAGGUCCACGGAUUUGCAAUCCGCUGCAUAGCCACUCUGCCAACGCGCCAGGGAUUUAAAAUCCCUCGGCGUUCGCGCUGUGCCGGUUCAAGUCCGGCCCGGGGCACCA
rnacentral:tRNA from 1 species